UCCAGUUCCAACUAUCUGCUGGCCAUUGCAGCCACCUGAAAUCCCCCUGUCUGCAUUAAACCAAAAGUCCUGCUAGUCACACAGAUAUAUUACAAAGAGGGGUCUUAAGAUGUUACUGCUUGGAAGUUGGAAACAAUAAAUGCUGUAAUGCCAACAGAAAAGGUGCUGAGGUAGCUGGUAGUUGAGAGUUAAUGAAGUAUGUUAAGCAGGUACAAUAUAAAUGAAGUUGUCCCCUGCAGGGCGAUUGGCCUCUAGGGAAAUAAUGUGACAGUUGUCUUUGUGUAAAAAUAAUGUGGUUCUCCUUCUUUGCCAGAUCCUAUCUACACCAGGAGAUGAAAGAGAUCUUGCAAGGGUACAUGGUUGUUCCUAUUGCAAAUGCUGUGCUUGGAGCUCACAAAUAAAGGACAAGAAAAAGAAAAGUUCCAGGAAAGUUUUUCUAAAGAUGCUGAGACCAGAAUGUGGGCAAACACUCAUAAGAAAGGAAAAAACUAUUUACAGAGAAGCUGAGCUCAGUCAAAGAAGUGACUAGUCUAAUAAAUGCCUAACUUUUCUUCCCUACUUUCUGGAG
rnacentral:lncRNA from 1 species